rfam:Marine gamma proteobacterium HTCC2080 1100755000541, whole genome shotgun sequence.
UUAUGCGCUUCUAAACUGCCCGAUGCGCAAGCCGCUUAUGAAUCGGCUAAUACCCUUCAGACCGCUGCCCUGGCCGGCGUGAACUUUAUGCUUCACACCG